rnacentral:pre_miRNA from 9 species
UCUCGAUAGCUUAAAAAUUUAAUUCAAAUUUGUAUGGAGUGGGAAUGCUUGCCUACGUUUGAAUCUACGGGCGCUGUUCCAACUACAUACAAAUUUUAGUUCACUUUUAUGUUAUCGA